rnacentral:rRNA from 1 species
AGGCGAACCGGGGGAACUGAAACAUCUAAGUACCCCGAGGAAAAGAAAUCAACCGAGAUUCCCCCAGUAGCGGCGAGCGAACGGGGAGGAGCCCAGAGCCUGAAUCAGCAUGUGUGUUAGUGGAAGCGUCUGGAAAGGCGCGCGAUACAGGGUGACAGCCCCGUACACAAAAGCGCAUGUGCUGUGAGCUCGAUGAGUAGGGCGGGACACGUGGUAUCCUGUCUGAAUAUGGGGGGACCAUCCUCCAAGGCUAAAUACUCCUGACUGACCGAUAGUGAACCAGUACCGUGAGGGAAAGGCGAAAAGAACCCCGGCGAGGGGAGUGAAAAAGAACCUGAAACCGUGUACGUACAAGCAGUGGGAGCACAGGUUUACCUGUGUGACUGCGUACCUUUUGUAUAAUGGGUCAGCGACUUAU